UACAGAGGUCCCGAGCGUUGUUCGGAUUCAUUGGGCGUAAAGGGCGCGUAGGCGGCCUGGCAAGUGGAAGGUGAAAUCCCUCGGCUUAACCGAGGAACUGCCUUCCAAACUGCUUGGCUUGAGUCCGGGAGAGGUGAGUGGAAUUCCCAGUGUAGCGGUGAAAUGCGUAGAUAUUGGGAGGAACACCAGUGGCGAAGGCGGCUCACUGGACCGGAACUGACGCUGAUGCGCGAAAGCGUGGGGAGCGAACAGG
rnacentral:rRNA from 1 species